GACUCUUUUGAUCGUCUUGCUAUUUUGCAGUGGAUUAGACUGUGUAGCUCAUUUUUUCUGGUGGCCUUAAAUAGCGCCUAAAAUGGCUCAGCCAAACAAAGCAGAGUGCCUGCACACCUGCUAUCCCAACAGGAGUUAAACCACAAGCUCAUCCACUCCCUCUGGAAAUCAUGUUUCACAGGACCUAUGCUGGGACUGGGCAUGGCAAUAAACUACAUAAUAGGACUAUCUUCUCCAAAGCAAAGAUCUCAAGGGCACACAGUCCUCUGCUUGAACACUGUCCUACAUGACUGUUUCUGAUGGGAGGAUCUGCAGACUUCUCUGCUCUGUGCUGAAGGACCAGCAGGGCUCACCUCCUCAUCUUGAACCAGUGGGUCUUGGAGUAAAGGAGGAUUUUGAUAUCUUGUAAGAGAAAAGUCAGGCAACCUCACUUUAUAGAGCCAUCUGUGACAGAAACUCCUUUAGAAAUCCCUUUUACGGAGCUGCUUCCUAAAGCUUUAAAUGUUCAACUGAGUGUUGAUAGUCUUAUCUCCCAUAGUUAAUAUGAAUGACUGUCCUUUUUAAUCAACCAAGCAUUUCUCACUGAAGAUGUGUCAAAUUAAGGAGAAAUGGCUGAUAAAUGACUCUGCCUGUCUUUGUCUUAGUAUCAUUUGAAAAGGAAGAGGGGUUAUUCUCUGUAUUCUUAGAUUAAUUGACACAUUUGCUGCUAUUAAUUUAGGUAGCUAUGAUGUCACAAAGACAUUUGUCAAUAACAUUGUCAGUGAAGGCUGGCGGAAUAUAGUUAUGGCUAUGAAGACACAGCCCACACAUACUUACAGAGCCUUUAGGGAAUAUCAAUGAGGAGGGGCAAGAAAGUUCUCAUUGCUCAUGGUAAUGUGUGACUGACUUAUGAAAACAAAGAAUCAGGG